UUUUAAUCGCCAACUGAGUUAUUGCUGGAGCUCGGUGCAUGCAUGAUGAAUGUACUGCAUCUGGUGGCCAUUCUUUUUUCCUUUUUGGAUAGGAGAAUGAGAAGCUGAGAUGGGGGGAUAAAAGGGUAGAGAGGGAGAGAAAAAGGGAGAUAUCUGAAGACCUGCUUCACCACUUGUGAAGUUUUCCUCUUGCAGGUCCUGAUGGAGUUGGGAGUUCAGAGCCCUCUGAUCAUCUUCCCAUAACAUUUCUCCUUUUCUGGAGCCACCAGGUUCCAGAUGCUACCAUUGUGCCAACCGGACAUCCCUGGUCAGAUGACCCCAUCAAUGUGUCCUGGAUCUCAGCUCCCUUAGAACCUUGCCCCACCAGGGAAAGAUAGAGACAGGCUUGGAGUAUGGAUUACAGAAGCCAGACAUUCCACCUUCUGUACCCCAUAAUGACCCUGGGUUCAUAGUCCCACAGGGUUAAAGAAUAGGGAAACUAUCAGGGGAAGGGAUGGGAUAUGGAGCUCUCAUGGUGGGAAUUGUACCCCUCUUAU